rnacentral:rRNA from 1 species
AUUGAACGCUGGCGGCGGGCCUAACACAUGCAAGUCGAGCGGGGUUUUCGGACCUAGCGGCGGACGGGUGAGUAAUGCGUAGGAAGCUACCCGAUAGAGGGGGAUACCAGUUGGAAACGACUGUUAAUACCGCAUAAUGUCUACGGACCAAAGUGUGGGACCUUCGGGCCACAUGCUAUCAGAUGCGCCUACGUGGGAUUAGCUAGUUGGUGAGGUAAUGGCUCACCAAGGCGACGAUCCCUAGCUGGUUUGAGAGGAUGAUCAGCCACACUGGAACUGAGACACGGUCCAGACUCCUACGGGAGGCAGCAGUGGGGAAUAUUGGACAAUGGGCGCAAGCCUGAUCCAGCCAUGCCGCGUGUGUGAAGAAGGCCUUCGGGUUGUAAAGCACUUUCAGUAGGGAGGAAGCGUUGUGUGUUAAUAGUACACAGCGUUGACGUUACCUACAGAAGAAGCACCGGCUAACUCUGUGCCAGCCGCCGCGGUAAGAC